rnacentral:sRNA from 1 species
AUGUACCAUGGUCCACUGCGGUUCCGAGCGCGCCGUCCGCGCCCACCUGACAGCUGCUCGCGACGUCUUGUUAGCC